AGAUUUAAGGGUUGGUCUCAAUCCUCCAAAACCCUAGCGCAGCCCGAACAAAAUCCCCUCUUCUUCAAUCUAAUCUCUUGCCUUCAUCUCUAAUGGAGGACGCGGUCGAAGCCACUACCAAUUUAGUCUCAGAUCUCUCCAUGGACUCCGCGCCCGCACCCGCAACCACAUCCGAAGCCCCCAGCAAAAAUGCUCUGAAGAAGGCGCAGAAGCAGAAGGAGAGAGAAGAAGAGAAGCGCCGCAAGGAAGAGGAGAAGAAAAAGAAGGCUGCUGUUAUGCCAAGUUCACAAUCAACAAAGCCUUCUGCUGCCGAUGAUGAAGAUAUGGACCCCACGCAAUACUUUGAGAAUAGGCUGAAGGUUCUUGCAUCGCUUAAGGCAACUGGAGCAAACCCUUAUCCACAUAAGUUCCAUGUUUCCAUAUCUGUUGUGGAUUAUGUUAAGGAAUAUGGAGGCUUGGGGGACGGAGAACACCUUAAGGAUGUUGAAGUUAGCUUAGCUGGGAGAAUUAUGAACAAGCGAGCUGCUUCGUCAAAGCUCUACUUCUAUGACCUCUAUGGUGGUGGUGCUAAAGUUCAGGUCAUGGCCGAUGUUAGGGAGUCAGGCAUGGAUGAAGCUGAAUUUUCUAGGUAUCAUGCUGGUGUGAAACGAGGUGAUAUUGUCGGCAUUUGUGGUUAUCCAGGAAAGAGUAAGAAAGGCGAGCUCAGUAUUUUCCCAAAAAAAUUCAUUGUUCUUUCUCCUUGCCUUCAUAUGAUGCCUAGGCAGAAAGCUGGACCUGGCUCUGGAAAUGCUUCUGCGAAGAAACCAGAAGCGAAGGCAACAUCUGAGCAGGUUCCAGGAAUGACUAGGAAUCCAGAAACAUAUGUGCUGAAAGAACAGAAACCAGAAGUGAAGGCAACAUUUGAGUGGGUUCCAGGAAUGACUAGGAACCCAGAAACGUAUGUGCUGAAAGAUCAGGAAACUCGUUAUCGUCAAAGAUAUCUAGAUCUGAUGUUGAACAGUGAGGUUAGGCAAAUAUUUAAGACCAGAGCAAGGGUUAUUUCUUAUAUCAGAGGUUUUUUGGACAAUCUCAAUUUCUUGGAGGUAGAAACACCCAUGAUGAACAUGAUUGCUGGGGGUGCAGCUGCCAGACCUUUUGUUACCCAUCACAAUGAAUUGAACAUGAAGUUGUUUAUGCGCAUUGCUCCGGAGCUUUAUCUGAAGGAGCUGGUUGUGGGUGGUCUGGACCGUGUUUAUGAGAUUGGGAAGCAAUUUAGAAAUGAAGGGAUUGAUUUGACCCACAAUCCUGAAUUCACUACAUGUGAAUUUUAUAUGGCUUUUGCCGAUUAUAAUGAUUUGAUGACACUUACUGAACAAAUGCUAUCUGGAAUGGUCAAGGAGCUAACAGGUGGCUAUAAAAUAAAAUAUCAUGCCAAUGGUGCGGACCAAGAUCCAGUUGAAAUUGACUUUACCCCACCAUUCAGGAAGAUAGAUAUGAUUGAGGGCUUGGAAAGUAUGGCCCACCUCAACAUUCCAAGAGAUCUUUCUAGUGAAGAGGCAAAUCAAUAUUUGUUGAAGGCAUGUGAAAAGUUUGAUAUCAAAUGUCCUCCACCGCAGACGACUGCAAGAUUGUUGGACAAGUUUGUUGGACAUUUUCUGGAGGAGACAUGUAUGAACCCUACUUUUAUCAUCAAUCAUCCAGAGAUUAUGAGUCCAUUAGCAAAAUGGCACAGAUCAAGACCUGGUUUAACCGAGCGGUUUGAAUUGUUCAUAAACAAACGUGAGGUAUGCAAUGCAUAUACGGAAUUAAAUGAUCCAGUUGUGCAGCGUGAACGUUUUGCAGAACAGUUGAAGGAUCGGCAAUCAGGUGAUGAUGAGGCCAUGGCUUUAGAUGAAACAUUUUGUACUGCUCUUGAAUAUGGUUUGCCUCCAACUGGCGGUUGGGGGUUGGGAAUAGAUCGCCUCACAAUGCUAUUUACAGACUCACAUAACAUAAAGGAGGUUCUUUUAUUUCCAGCAAUGAAGCCCCAGGAUGAGCCUUCUCCCAAAGCGAGUUGAGACAAUGCAGAGGCGGUGGUGUGGGAAGGUGCUCUACGAACAUUUCUGCUAGUGCUAGCGGUCGAUGGUACAAAUUCAGCCACGGGAGUGACAGGACCUGGAGUGCUAUUGGGGGGAGGUGGUGGAGGAUCUACUGGUGGUUGGCUACUGCUUAACACAAGUAUACCGCAACCUGAGUCGAAAUUCCGGCACAUUUUGAGCGCUCAUGAAUCUUGCCAGAGCAUAUGUCCAUGAAAAGCCUUUGUGGAGGCGAUAAAGAGGCAUCAACGCUACUCGCUUACCAAUUUUUUUGGGUCGAUAGAUUUGUAUGGCAUAUGUCUAUGUUGCCUGUGUGGAUGAAAAAAAUAUUUUACCUCGUCUAUACUUGAUGCGGACUUCACUUUAGUACUUUUGUCAAAAAAGUUAAACCUCUUAGAUUUUGUCUAUUUUGUUUUCAUGUUAUCUAUCUGACGUAUUAUGCUACAAGAGAUCACUAUGAUCUCGUUUGAUAUACUACAAUUACCACAGUACCUUGGUCAA